AGCCGGGCCGGGGUGGAAGCCGAGGCGUCGCAGCUGCCGGGCCGUGCUUCGUGCUGGCGCUGCACCGGCGGGCUGCUAAAGCCUUGCCGAGGGACAAAGACCGGGCUAAAGUAGAAUAUGUUCAGAUUCCCCGUUUUCUUCUUGUACUCGGGUGAAGCAAUGAGGAGACAGGGUUUCUUGAUUGGGAACUUGCCUCCGAUCUUGUGAAGUGCAGGACAGAGCAAAAUGUGAAUUUCUUCAGUAUAGCUUUAGACAUAACUUAAUUAGGUGUGAGAAUAACAGUAGUGGAUUUUACCGUGGGUAAAGGAAGGUAAGUGACAUACAGAGGAUAUAUGUGGGGUGCCUGACUUCAUUCUUAAAAGCUCAGAGGAGUUGAAUGCAUGUGACAUCAUUUUUGGAUUUGUUCUGUGACAUAAAAAAAAAAACCAACACCAACAAUAAAAUAUCUUUAAUUUUACAAGUAAGGAAAAUCGCCUCUGUAUAGGGCAUUGAGCAGAGUUUUCCUGAAGACUUAUUUAAGAAAACCCUAUUGAAUUGCAGUCUUCCAUGUUAAACUUUUUGGUCUUUGCAAAUGUCUCUGUAAUCCUAAAACAGGUAUAUUGAGGAUGAUAUGGAAGAAGCAUGUGGUAUGGUUGCUGCAGGACGUCAUACCUGAAAAGUCUUGUCAUCUGUGUCAGCUGAGAUUGUAAUUUUUAUCUGUGUGGCAGCAGGGUCUGCCUGUUGUGAAUUUGUGAUUUUCAUGCAGAGGAUAAUACUUUUUAGUUAUAUAGGUGUCAUCUUUUAGAAACCUUCAUAGGUUGUUCUUGCUGGUAUUAUUCAUAACACCUAAACUUAUUUACAGUGGAAGGGAUAAAGAGAAACUGAUUUUCUUUUCUAUUUUCAGUUUUAUUUGAAGUCUUUUACUUGGGUUUUCUUAUUUGUGUGGGGAUUUCACACCAUGGGAAGAGAGGAAAGCAUAGGGUGGAAGUCAAUAAGUAAAUUAGAGCUCUGAGGAAGUGUAAUUCCUGAUGGUUUUUUUCAUUCCUUUUUCCAAUUACUUGGAUUUCUAGCUAAUUUCACUUAUAAAAGUUAAAUAGUUUCACAAGCAUCCCAUAUGUAAUCUUUUAUAACCUUUUCUCUUUUUCAUUGAAGGUGAAGAUCAACUACAGUAACUACAGUAAGAUAGCUCUGAAUACUAGUUUUCUUGUUAAUUAACUUUCAGCCCAUUAAUUGCCUUACUAGAUGUGAAUUCUUCAAGUUUAUCAGUAUGGCUCUGACUGUAAUGCUGCUGAAUGGUACUUCCUUCCGUGGUGGAUGCUGCAGGCACAAAGUUUUGCUCUCCUUACUUGGACCUUUCCUCAGCAAUUCAAAAUUGUACAGCAGCUACAGGAGGCCAGGGGCAGAGCCUGAGAAAAAACUGUCUUGGCAGAAUGCUGAUUUCAGCUUUAAGAAGGGCAUUGAUCACCUAAAGACUCAGCUAAGCUUGCUGAAGAAGGAAACCCAAGAUUAUUUACUAGGACCUGGAGGCCAUCCAUUAAGUCAGCACUUGUUGGAACAAACAAAGGUGUUGUGGCAGUUUCGGAGCCAAGAAGAUUUAAAUGAAUGGGUUAUUUCCUCUGAUGUAGAGAUUGGAGGGAAAAGUAAAAUUUACCUCAAAUUGGGUAGGAAUAACCAGGCUGCUCUGCUGUAUGGAACCCUCAAUACAGAAGUACCUCGUGAUGGGGAGACAAAAUACAGUGGAUAUUGCAGUAUGAGAUCCAGACCGGCAGUGGGAUCUUUUAACAGGAAGAAGUAUUAUGACUGGUCAAACUUCAACAGUCUGUAUUUACGUGUCCGUGGUGAUGGCAGACCUUGGAUGGUAAACAUUUAUACAGAUCCUUACUUCUCUCACCAAAAGGAUGACCUCUACAGCUACUUCAUGUUCACCCGAGGAGGCCCAUACUGGGAGGAAAUAAAGAUUCCAUUCUCCAAAUUCUUUCUCUCCAGUCGGGGAAGAGUCCAGGAUAACCAGCAUCCUGUCUGGUUAGACAAGAUUAGAACCCUUGGAUUCACCAUUGGAGAUAAAGUAGAUGGUCCAUUCCAGCUGGAGAUUGAUUUUAUUGGUCUGCUAAAGGACAGAGCUCAUAGAGAAGAGUUCGCCUAUGAAACACAUGACAAGAACACUCCAGUCUAAGUUGGGCUGGUGUCCUUUAUAAAUUCUUUAGAUACUUGGUUUAUUUUUAUAAAAUACUUCUUAACAUGUGGCUUUUAACAACUCGAAGAGCCUGUGUAAACAUUAAAGAGAUGAGUGCAUGAAGCGUGACAGCACUGGCAUCUUUGAACUCUCAGAGACAGAAUCCUGGAGAGACUGUACAUACAUGGACUGCAACAUAGCCUUAGAGGAGCUGUGAUGUUCUUACAAAGUAGUAACUCUUCCCUAGGGAAAAGCAAAUUCUGAGUUACCAGACUCUGCUGAAAAAUUAUCUACAAAGCAGGCAAGAAGAAAGGAAAACAAACAGUGCAUCAGAAGCAUAUGGCCUCUUCAAGUUUUCUCCCUUCUAUUUUUCCUCUUUAAAAGCUUAUUUUAAAUGUAAAUAGUUUUUUUAUUAUUAUUAAACUGACCUGACAACACAUACCUUAGAAUGUGGAGUGUCUUUUUCUGAUACUCUUAAGAGAAUUGAUUUUCUGACCAUUGGCACCUGCCAAUAGUAAUUUGUCUGAAGUACACAAUGAUGCAAUAUAUGGCAUUAAAAAAAUAAAUGUA